rnacentral:rRNA from 1 species
GAUGCUAAUACCGGAUAACAACAGAUGAUGCCUAUCAACUGUUUAAAAGAUGGUUCUGCUAUCACUCUCGGAUGGACCUGCGGUGCAUUAGCUAGUUGGUAGGGUAACGGCCUACCAAGGCGAUGAUGCAUAGCCGAGUUGAGAGACUGAUCGGCCACAUUGGGACUGAGACACGGCCCAAACUCCUACGGGAGGCAGCAGAU